rnacentral:lncRNA from 1 species
GAGCACUUGGAGGUGGUUUCAAACAAAAAUAUCCUAUAAUCAUUGAUCACAACCUGCCACUUUUGAUUAGUUCUUUGACAAUUAUGAAUCAAAGCCUAAACUAGCAAUCAAACCACUACCAAUUUCAUCUAGUUGUACACUUAAAUAAACAAGAUAGCAAUUCUUGAGUUAUAAAAUCAGUGAAAUAUAAUAUCUUCAAAAGAAAGAUGAAUAAAUUCUGAAACUUUAUUAACUAAAACUCAUGUCUAGGGUUUCAAAAUCAAUCCUUAACCAACAAAAAAAUUACUCACUCAUGUCUAAAAUAUUACAAAUCAAAGUCAUUUAAAAGAAAACUAGCAAAAUACAAGAGAAAGAAAAGCUUAUUGAUGAAUUCCAAUUAUGACAGCAUGUUGUCCUUCAAAGCAUUCCUUCAAUUUCGUUUUUGUAAGUGUUCUCCCUCUCUUUCUUUAAUGAGGCUCCUCCCUUUUUUUAUGAAGCUGAGUUCUCUUCCAUUUUAACAAGCAAAGACACCUUUUUCAUCAUGGUGUGAAUGGAGAAUCGAAUAGGUGGCUGCCAACUCUUAAAGUCAAGCAUGUCACCAUCUC